rnacentral:piRNA from 1 species
UUCACUUCAUGGACUUCCCUAUGAUCGUGAC